AGGAGGUGUAGCCUGGUUGUGGCCUGGGGAGUUUGGCUGUUAGGAUUUAAUUUGGUUUUAUUAAAAUUACCAAAAUUCUCUCUGGGCAGGUGUAGACCCGGGCAGGGCGAAGCUCUCUGGGCUGUUGACUGUGAGGCCCCUCCAAUGUUUUUCAAAGUAAAGGUUAAUAAAGACUUGUUUCCACACAAACAGAAUCCGAAUGAAUACUGAGUGCUAAAGGAAGAUUUUUAGGUUGAAUUGUAAUUGUUCUAAGGUUGCUUUUAUUGUGUGUGUUUUGCCCUCACAGGUAAACUCCUCCAGGGCAGGACCUGACUCUUCAGAGGAAUUUUUUAAUCCCCCUCCCCAGAAGUGCCCACGUCAAGGCCAUAGUAGAGAAGGAGCUCAAGAGCAAUCCCUAAGCAACCACGCUUGGAAGCAUCCUGCAACAGAGGGAUUUGUUCCAGACUCAGAUUUAAUCCACUAUUACCUUUUCGUAAGACAAGUGUUGUCUGAAGGAGUCUGUGUGUAAUUUUGAGACAAAAGGAUUGCAGAACUCAGCUCCCAGGUUGUCUCAUAUCUGAUUCUUCGAAAGAGGAAAAGAAGCGAACUCUUCUGCACAAUAGCUGAGCAGAUAGGAGAGAAAAAGCUUGAAGAUUCACAGUGGAGCAAGGCUAAUUGGAGCCUUCCUCAGAGCAGCUCAACUAUCCCAGUUUUACCUAUCCCAUUCCUUGCCAUUCCCACUUGUAAUUCUGUCUUGGCAAGAACACCAUACUGAAGGUUCUUAAAGCAGUUUGUAGACUUUAAUUAGUUCUGUGGAAAGUCAGUCAAAGCUCAGCCUUCAUUCUGCCAACAGAGACAACAGUGGUGGGUGUGGAAGGAAGGCAAGAAGAAGAUGGACACCCAGAGCAGUUGUGCAACUUACUGAAGGCCAUGUGGAUAGGAGGAACUGGGUUUAAAACCCCUGAGUCUUGAUAAAAGUGUCUUAGCCUUCUAGAUUCCUAAACAGGUAGUGGGCUCAUCCUACUAACCUACUUUGCUAGGGUGUUGUUGAUGAAUGCUUAUAAACCCUGUCCUAGAUGAUAGGUUUGGAAGAUUGUUAAAGAAAGCAUGUCAUUAAGUCCCUACUCACCCCCUCCUUGACAAAUAGCCCUGGAGGGAAAUGAAUAUUAGCCAGAAUCGUAGGGCCUCCACUUCAAUGGAAUGAACUGAGAUUCAACAACAAGAGAAAUGUUCCAACAGUGAGGGAAAUCAACAAUGUGCUGGGGGUGAAGGGUAGGGGUUGGGAAGGCCUAAACAGGUGACCAUUGCCAGACAGCCCAGACAAGAUCAUCACAGAAUAGCUGAUUCCCAUUAGACACUGUGGGUGAUCAUUAUCUUAAAAUUCAGGACACUAUUUUUGUAGUAGUUUCCCUUCCUCUCUUUGUAAGAGCAGAAGACCUCUCUGGGGCCUAUCACAAGACAAGCGGGUGUUUGCAAAUGAGGGACGUACUUUGAGACUGAAUUGCUCUGUGCUUCUCUAAAAGACAUGGUUAAGAGUUUGGGCGCUGAUGUUAGAGACUGAGAUUAAAAUCCUUCCUUGCCACUUCCAUCAGUAUAAAUUUGGAUAAGUUUCUUAACUUCUCUAAGCCUUGAUUUUCUCACCUAUAAAAUGGGCCUAAUAAUAGUGCCUAACUUAGAGGUUUGUUGUAAAGGUUAAAUGCAAUUAUUCAGGUAAAGCCUUAAUGGAGCCUGAUAUGUAGUAAGCACUCAAUCCAUUUUAUCUACUGACUCUUUUCUCUGUGUGGGUUACCCACUUUGGAGAUUGUCCCCAGUAAUUUCUUUGGUCAAGUCUUGAUCUCCCUGGCCCCUUGGCUGUCUUCUCCCACCAUGAUCAGUGAGAAGUUGAGGAGCACUAAUACCAAAUUCUUUUUCAUGUUAGUUAGGAGAAAGCAGAAUUACGAAGGUCAACCUGCUGGUGUAAAAAAAUAUUACAUAGAUUAGCCCUGCUCUACAUAUUAGAUAUGUUCUCAAAAUGCCUAAGUGGCCUUUUUUUUUUUUUUUAAUUUAAGUUCUAGGGUACAUGUGCACAACGUGCAGGUUUGUUACAUGUGUAUACAUGUGCCAUGUUGGUGUGUGGCACCCAUUAACUUGUCAUUUACAUUAGGUAUAUCUCCUAAUGCUAUCCCUCCCACCCCCACCCCCUGGCAGGCCCUGGUGUGUGAUGUUCCCCACCCUGUGUCCAUGUGUUCUCGUUGUUCAAUUCCCACCUAUGAGUGAGAACACACGUGUUUGGGUUUUUGUCCUUGCGAUACUUUGCCAAGAAUGAUGGUUUCCAGCUUCAUCCAUGUCCCUACAAAGGACAUGAACUCAUCAUUUUUAUGGCUGCAUAGUAUUCCAUGGUGUAUAUGUGCCACAUUUUCUUAAUCCAGUCUAUCAUUGAUGGACAUUUGGGUUGGUUCCAAGUCUUUGCUAUUAUGAAUAGUGCCACAAUAAACGUAUGUGUACCUGUGUCUUUAUAACAGCAUGAUUUAUAAUCCUUUGGGUAUGUGCCCAGUAAUGGGAUGGCUGGGUCAAAUGGUAUUUCUAGUUCUAGAUCCUUGAGGAAUUGCCUAAGUGGCCAUGUUUAUAUUGGGUAAUCUUUAAAUGACUUUAUUUGCAAGUCUGAGUAAUAUACUCAUAGAAACAAGAAUCACAGUUAAGGGAAGGGAAACUAAUAUUUGAGCUUGAGACACUUUCCAUAUCCAAGUCCAAUUGAAUCCUCCCAAUCACCCAAUAAAGAGAUCUUAUUAUUCCCAUUUUAUAUGUUAAACAACCAAAACUCAGAGAGGUUAAUUAAUACUCUCAAAAUCACUCUUCUAGGGGUGGUGGAGCCUAAGUUUGAAUGCAGCUCUGGCUCCCAAACCUGUCCAUUUUCUACUAUGUCAUGCUCAAAGGCAUAUUCUGCUUUUGUCCAUUGUCAGCCUAUGUGCAUUUAAGUUUCCCACACAAAUUCAAGAAGAAUUUUAUCCAUCAAUUCACAUGACCUUGAGUAUUAAUUUAGUUUAAAAAUCUUUCCCCUUAUGAUUUAAAAAAUAUUCACUUUAAGAAAUUAUCUGCCAUGUGCAGGAUUAUCAUAGGAUUAAAAAAAAAAAAGAAAUUAGCAGCCGGUUGUGGUGGUUCAUGCCUGUAAUCCCAGCACUUUGGGAGACUGAGGUGGGAGCAUUGCUUGAGGCCAGGAGUUCAAGACCAGCCUGGGUAGCAUAGUGAGACUCUGCCUCUACAAAAAAUUAAAAAUUAGCCAAGCAUGGUGACACACGCCUGUAGUCCCAGCUACUCAGGAGGCUGAGGCAAGAAGAUUACUUGAGCCCAGAAGGUUGAGGCUGCAGUGAGCUAUGACCACUACAU
rnacentral:lncRNA from 10 species